UACGUAGGGUGCAAGCGUUUGUCCGGAAUUAUUGGGCGUAAAGAGCUCGUAGGCGGUCUGUCGCGUCUGCUGUGAAAACUCAGGGCUUAACCCUGAGCUUGCAGUGGGUACGGGCAGACUAGAGUGCGGUAGGGGAGACUGGAAUUCCUGGUGUAGCGGUGAAAUGCGCAGAUAUCAGGAGGAACACCGGUGGCGAAGGCGGGUCUCUGGGCCGUAACUGGACGCUGGAGGAGCGAAAGCAUGGGGAGCGAACAGG
rnacentral:rRNA from 1 species